GCCACACUAUGAAUUCCCUCUACCUCGACCACACUCAAGCUCUAGCAGUUUCCACUGCUUUUCUGGGGUUGAGACCCCAGUCUUUAMSAGCAGACUUACCAAACCACCUACACACGACUUUAUGCCCAGUGAGUUCCGGCAUAACGCUUGCCACUGCCUACUGAUACKUAGCCGUCGGUCUGCAUGGAMYAKAGUKAGCCGAUAGCUBAUUCCUMAGUACCGUCAGAACUUCUUCCUUGAGAAAGAGGUUUACAACCCA
rnacentral:rRNA from 1 species